ACCAGGAUGGUCGAGUGGUUAAGGCGUUGGACUUGAAAUCCAAUGGAUGAAUGUGCUAAUGGGUUCAAACCCCACUACUGGUA
rnacentral:tRNA from 1 species